GCUUUCCUGUGGCUCAGUUGAUAAAGCAUUGCAUUAACAACGCAAAGGUCAUGGGUUCAAAUCCCAGGGAAAGCA
rnacentral:tRNA from 1 species